CCUAUGGUUCGCGUUGGCACUCUCCUAUUUAGAUUACUAGCUGCUCAAUAUGGUGCAGAUAUCACAUACGGUGAGGAAAUCAUUGACCAUAAGAUGGUCAAGUGCGAGCGCCGAAUCGAUGAACUCAUUGGAUCCACUGAUUUUGUGGAGAAAGGGACGGAAAAUGUUAUGUUUAGAACUUGUGAUCAAGAAAAAGAAAGGGUUGUAUUUCAAAUGGGCACAUCUGAUGCUGUGAGGGCCCUAACUGCUUCUCAGUUA